UACGUAGGGGGCAAGCGUUGUCCGGAUUUAUUGGGCGUAAAGGGUGCGUAGGUGGCGCCAUAAGUCAGGUGUGAAAUCUCGGGGCUUAACUCCGAAACUGCAUUUGAUACUGUGGUGCUUGAGGACUGGAGAGGAGACUGGAAUUUACGGUGUAGCAGUGAAAUGCGUAGAGAUCGUAAGGAAGACCAGUGGCGAAGGCGGGUCUCUGGACAGUUCCUGACACUGAGGCACGAAAGCCAGGGGAGCAAACGGG
rnacentral:rRNA from 1 species